rnacentral:rRNA from 1 species
GAUGAACGCUGGCGGCGUGCCUAAUACAUGCAAGUCGAGCGAACAGAUGAGGAGCUUGCUCCUCUGACGUUAGCGGCGGACGGGUGAGUAACACGUGGAUAACCUACCUAUAAGACUGGGAUAACUUCGGGAAACCGGAGCUAAUACCGGAUAAUAUAUUGAACCGCAUGGUUCAAUAGUGAAAGACGGUUUUGCUGUCACUUAUAGAUGGAUCCGCGGCGCAUUAGCUAGUUGGUAAGGUAACGGCUUACCAAGGCAACGAUGCGUAGCCGACCUGAGAGGGUGAUCGGCCACCCUGGAACUGAGACACGGUCCGAACUCCUACGGGAGGCAGCAGUAGGGAAUCUUCCGCAAUGGGCGAAAGCCUGACGGGGCAACGCCGCGUGAGUGAUGAAGGUCUUCGGAUCGUAAAACUCUGUUAUUAGGGAAGAACAAAUGUGUAAGUAACUAUGCACGUCUUGACGGUACCUAAUCAGAAAGCCACGGCUAACUACGUG